rnacentral:rRNA from 1 species
UUAGGUAGCUAUGCCAGACUGAAUACACCUGAUCUCAUCUGAUCCUGAAAGCUACAGAGUCCUGGGAUUAGAGAUAUGUUGAUGGUAUACUGGCUUAG